UACCAGCACCCCGAGUGGUCGGGACGAUUAUUGGGCCUAAAGCAUCCGUAGCCGGUCAUGCAAGUCCUCCGUUAAAUCCAGCCGCUCAACGGUUGGGCUGCGGAGGAUACUACGUGGCUAGGAGGCGGGAGAGGCAAGCGGUACUCAGUGGGUAGGGGUAAAAUCCGUUUGAAUCCAUUGAAGACCACCAGUGGCGAAGGCGGCUU
rnacentral:rRNA from 1 species